rnacentral:lncRNA from 1 species
AUCUACGGCAGCAGCGACAGCUACGAGCACUUCUUCACUAUAACAAGGUAGCUACAAGGUGAUCCGAGCCGAUCCAAAAAUAGUGUCUCUCAAGUGUUUCCCAACCCCGAAACAACUACUCACUAUUUUAUCGCUCACAAGAAAGUAUUCCUACCACGGUAAAACAUUUACCGGGACUUUCUACCGCUCACCUAUCUACCCAAUUGAGAUAACUUAUCUCAAUUAUUAAACAAGUGAAAAUUGCUACACUACAACACUUAGAGAAGUGAGAAAGGAAGAAGAGAGGGAUGAUUGAAAUGGGAUGCACUAGCUUCCCUUUUAUACUAGAAAUGUAGGGAGACCAAUUGAAAGCAAUUGGUUGUGGCAUCCAAUUAGUUGAAUCCCCAACUAAUUUCCAUGUGCACUAAAUUGGAGGUGGGGGUUAAUAUUGGUGGGAAUUCAAUUAGUUGGUUAGAGAUCCAACUAAUUUUGUGGUGCUUUAAUAUUGGUGGUACAUAUUUUUGUUGCACAUCAAUUAUCCGGGACCAACAAUUCUCCCCCUCCCGGCUAAUUAAGACUCUCGGUCAUCCCUGCUGCUGAUCGACAAUACUCAAACUUCUCUCUUAGAAGACUCUUCGUGCACAUGUCAGAUCCAUUCUCAUCAGUAUGGAUCUUCUCGAGUUGUAGUUGCUUCGACUCCACCACAUCUCGAAUCCAAUGAUAUCGAACAUCGAUAUGUUUGGACCUAGAAUGAAACGUCGAAUUCUUCGCAAGGUGUAUGGCGCUCUGACUGUCACAGAACAACUGCGGUCGUUCCUGUUGGAACCCAAGUUCACUCAAGAACUUCUUCAUCCACAACAGCUCCUUGCUAGCUUCCGUUGCGGCAAUGAACUCAGCUUCAAUAGUGGAAAAAGCUACACACUUUUGUAGCCUUGACUGCCAAGAAACAGCUCCCCCUGAAAAUGUAAUCAGGUAUCCAGAAGUGGACCUCCGUGUAUCAACGUCACCUGCCAUGUCCGCAUCUGUGUAGCCGACAAGUACAGGAUUAGAAUCUCCAAAACAAAGGCAAAAUUUGGAGGUACCUCGAAGGUAUCUCAGAAUCCACUUCACAGCUGCCCAGUGUUCCUUUCCAGGAUUUGAAAGAAACCGACUGACAACUCCGACUGCGUGAGCAAUAUCCGGCCGUGUACACACCAUAGCGUACAUCAAACUUCCCCACCGCUGAAGCAUAUGGAAUACUUUUCAUCUCCGUCUUCUCUGCAUCAGUAGACGGGCACUGUUUGGUGCUAAGUUGAAAGUGAUUAGCAAGAGGACAACUAACCGCUUUUGCACCAUUCAUGCUGAAUUGUUGGAGUACUUUCUCAAUGUACUUCUCCUGCGACAACCAGAUCUUCUUGGCAACUCUAUCUCGUGCAAUCUUCAAGCCAAGAAUCUGCUUCGCGGGCCCCAAGUCUUUCAUAGCAAAAGACUUGCUCAACUCCUUCUUCAAGUUGUUGAUUCUGGAAACAUUCCGGCCAACAAUUAGCAUGUCGUCAACAUAGAGCAACAAGAUGAUGAAAUCAUCAUCACCAAACAUCUUCAUGAACACGCAAUGGUCUGAAGUAGUCUUCUUGUACCCUUGCUCCCCCAUAACAGACUCGAACUUCUUGUACCAUUGUCGUGGUGCCUGCUUCAAGCCGUACAAACUUUUGAUAAGUUUGCACACGAAAUCCUCUUUUCCCUUCUUCUUGAAGCCUUCCGGUUGCUCCAUAUAGAUAUCUUCCUCCAAAUCGCCAUGGAGGAAGGCAGUCUUCACGUCCAUCUGCUCAACUUCCAGGUUGAAACUUGACGCUAACCCCAGCACUGUACGAAUGGAUGUCAAUUUCACCACCGGUGAAAAUAUCUCAUCAAAGUCGAUGCCCUUCCUUUGACUGAAGCCUUUGACAACGAGCCGAGCUUUGAACCGUGGUUUACUAUUGUGUUCUUCAUGCUUGAUUUUGAACACCCACUUGUUCUUCAAAGCUCUCUUCCCCUUCGGCAACUUCACAAGCUCAAAUGUGUUGUUGUCGUAAAGGGACUUCAUCUCGUCCUCCAUUGCUUCCAUCCAUUUAUGCUUGUGUCCAUCCUUCAUAGCUUCCUCGAAGCUAUCUGGUUCUCCCCCAUCAGUGAAUAAGACAUAUUCAUUUGAUGAAUAUCUGGUAGAGGGUUGCACGACUCUUCCAGAUCUCGUUCGGGGCGGAGAACCUUCGGCGGCUGGCGGUUGAUAAUGAGAACCAUCAUCAUCAUUAGGAUCAUCAGGCUGAACAUCAAGGGGGGCUUCAGGUUCAGCUACCUCUGGAUGAAUUUCUCCAACAGCAGGUGUUGGAGGCUCUAACUUCUCGGGCAUUGUGCUAGCAUCAGUGUUAGGAGCAUCUCUCCCAACCUUCUGAAUGUCUUCGAUGGUCUCAUUCUCCAUGAACACAGCAUCACGACUCCUAAUGAGCUUCUUCUGGAUAGGGUCAAAGAAUCUGUAGCCAAAUUCAUCUUGACCAUAUCCAAUAAAAACACACGGUCGUGUCUUGGAAUCCAGUUUCGACCUCUCAUCCCUCGGAAUGUGAACAAAGGCCUUGCAACCAAACACUCGAAGAUGCUUGUACGAGACAUCUCUUCCCGACCAAAUCUUCUCGGGGGCUUCAAAAUCUAAUGGAACGCUAGGUGAAAGGUUCCAAACAUGCACUACGGCAAGUAGUGCUUCUCCCCAAAAAGAGUGCGGUAACUUCGAGUGGGAGAGUAAGCACCUGACUCUCUCCAUCAAGGUUUUGUUCAUCCGCUCCGCCACGCCAUUCAGUUGCGGAGUCUUAGGAGGUGUAAACUGAUGUCGGAUUCCCUUCUCUUUACAGUAGGCAUCGAAUGGCCCAAUGUACUCUCCACCAUUGUCUGUACGUAGACACUUCAGCUUCUGGCCAGUCUCCCUCUCCACCAAUGCAACAAAACGUUUGAAAACGUUUAGCACCUGAUCUUUCGUCUUCAGAACAUAUACCCAUGUCUUCCGCGAGUGAUCAUCAAUAAACGUAGCAAAGUAACGUGCGCCACCAAGGGAUUUGGAAUCCGCUUCACAAAGAUCUGAGUGAACCAAAUCUAGCACGUUCUUCGCUCUAGAAGGUGGAGAACUUCUGAAAGCAACUCGAUUUUGCUUUCCUGCCAAACAGUCGACGCAUCUCUCCAGGUGGACAUGAUCCAGUCCAGGUAUAACCUUCUUCUUUGCCAGCUUUACCAUGGACUUCUCGCUCAUGUGGCCAAGGCGUUUGUGCCACAACGCGACGUCGUCGACAAUCUCCGUUGAGUUUGCAACUUCUAGGGAGAUCUUGGCUUCUGUCACGUACAGUUUAGACUGCUUCUCGCCUCUUGCCACCACCAAUGCGCCUUUGGUGAGUUUCCAUUGACCGUUUUUGAAGGUAUGACAAUAACCUUCCCCGUCCAGCUUGUCCACAGAAAUCAGAUUUAGACGCAUGUCCGGGACAUGUCUAACAUCUCGCAGCACCAACUUCGCACCUUCCAUUGUCUCCAGGAAGACAUCUCCUUUUCCAACGACCUUGGAGAGGUUUCCAUUUCCCAUCCUUACCACACCGUAGUUGCCCGGUGAGUAAGAUGAGAAAAAUUCACGCCUUGACGAUACAUGGAUGGUGGCACCGCUGUCAACCACCCAAGUGGUCUCCUGGGUUGUCAGGUUGACAAAAUCUUCAUCAUAGACAAGCAUGAGCUCCUCAACAACAUUAGCAUUGUCACUGUCAGCACCUCUGUUUUGCCUAAGUUGUGGGCAAAACCUCCGGAUGUGUCCCUUCUGUUUGCAGUUGUGACAAGUGAUGUUUGCAUACUUGUUGGACUUCCCUCGGCUCUUCCCUCGCUUCUUUGAGCCUCUCGACUCACUCCUUCCUCUCCCAUCCACAGCUAGAACGUCUGACUGUGAUGAUGAGGAAGAGACACCUUGAGAUCUUCUUCUCAUCUCCUCGUUGAGAAUUCCGCUCUUGACAUCCUCCAUGGUGACAACACCAUCUAUGGCAGAGCUCGUGAUUGCAAUCUUCAAGGUUUCCCAUGAUUCUGCCAAAAUCAAUCCAAAUCUUUCAUCAACAGGAGAUCCUUCAUCUUGCUUCUCCAAAUAUGAAAGUUUGUACCGUUCAAACUAACCAUCUUGCUUGGCGUUGCCUCCAUAAUGAACCGUGCUCUGAUACCACUGUUGGGGCGCAGCGGACGAGAAUAGAGUAAAUAUAUUGCACUAAUAAACCACACACCGUAAAUAUUUCCCAGGCAAGUUGGAAGUGGCGGUAGUCCGCCACACUUAAAAUCACUAUGGAUGGGUGAUUACCACCGCAAUACCAUAAUGACGAUAAUUAAGCCAACCUCCUUAGACCAAUUUAUUGUGGUAAUAUUAAUAAUGCAAUAUACAACGAAUAUUCUCGAAAUUGCCAAGCACAAAACAGUAAGUAAAUAACACCGGGAUUUACGUAGUUCCCCUCCAAUGCGGAGAGUACAUCUACGGCAGCAGCGGCAGCUACGAGCACUUCUUCACUAUAACAAGGUAGCUACAAGGUGAUCUGAGCCGAUCCAAAAUAGUGUCUCUCAACUGUUUCCCAACCCCGAAACAACUACUCACUAUUUUAUCGCUCACAAGAAAGUAUUCCUACCACGGUAAAACAAUUAUCGGGGCUUUCUACCGCUCACCUAUCUACCCAAUUGAGAUAACUUAUCUCAAUUAUUAAAC